rnacentral:rRNA from 1 species
AGUGAACGCUGGCGGUAGGCCUAACACAUGCAAGUCGAACGGCAGCACAGUAAGAGCUUGCUCUUACGGGUGGCGAGUGGCGGACGGGUGAGGAAUACAUCGGAAUCUACUUUUUCGUGGGGGAUAACGUAGGGAAACUUACGCUAAUACCGCAUACGACCUACGGGUGAAAGCAGGGGAUCUUCGGACCUUGCGCGAUUGAAUGAGCCGAUGUCGGAUUAGCUAGUUGGCGGGGUAAAGGCCCACCAAGGCGACGAUCCGUAGCUGGUCUGAGGGGAUGAUCAGCCACACUGGAACUGAGACACGGUCCAGACUCCUACGGGAGGCAGCAGUGGGGAAUAUUGGACAAUGGGCGCAAGCCUGAUCCAGCCAUACCGCGUGGGUUAAGAAGGCCUUCGGGUUGUAAAGCCCUUUUGUUGGGAAAGAAAAGCAGCAGGUUAAUACCCCGCUGUUCUGACGGUACCCAAAGAAUAAGCACCGGCUAACUUCGUG